rnacentral:rRNA from 1 species
GGAUGUGGAAGUACGGUAACGUAUGGAGCUAACCAGUACUAAUUGUCCUAUUCGCGCUUG